GUGAAUCAUCAAAUUUUUGAACGCAAAUUGCACUCUCUUCGGAGAGUAUGCCUGUUUGAGGGUCAGCCUAAAAAAAAAUCGACAUAUUCGCUGUUUGCCGGUGCAUUUCGUCGGAAAUUGGUUCAUUUUAAACCUUUGGUUUUUAAGGGGCUUAAAUUUUUUUUUAGAUUUCACGAAAGGUUUUUAAAUUUUCUUUUUUUACCUU
rnacentral:misc_RNA from 1 species